rnacentral:rRNA from 1 species
GUGGGGAAUCUUGCGCAAUGGGCGAAAGCCUGACGCAGCCAUGCCGCGUGAAUGAUGACGGUCUUAGGAUUGUAAAAUUCUUUCACCGGGGACGAUAAUGACGGUACCCGGAGAAGAAGCUCCGGCUAACUUCGUGCCAGCAGCCGCGGUAAUACGAAGGGGGCUAGCGUUGCUCGGAAUUACUGGGCGUAAAGGGCGCGUAGGCGGACAGCUUAGUCAGAGGUGAAAGCCCAGGGCUCAACCUUGGAAUUGCCUUUGAUACUGGCUGUCUUGAGUUUGGGAGAGGUGAGUGGAACUCCGAGUGUAGAGGUGAAAUUCGUAGAUAUUCGGAAGAACACCAGUGGCGAAGGCGACUCACUGGCCCAAUACUGACGCUGAGGCGCGAAAGCGUGGGGAGCAAACAGGAUUAGAUACCCGAGUAGUCC